GAUGAACGCUAGCGGCAGGCCUAAUACAUGCAAGUCGAACGGGAUUAAGAGGCUUGCUUCUUAUGAGAGUGGCGCACGGGUGCGUAACACGUAUGCAACCUACCUUCAACAGGGGGAUAGCCUUCCGAAAGGGAGAUUAAUACCGCAUAAUAUAAUUGAACGGCAUCGUUUGAUUAUCAAACUUACAAGGGUUGAAGAUGGGCAUGCGUCCGAUUAGUUAGUUGUUGAGGUAACGGCUCACCAAGGCAUCGAUCGGUAGGGGAUCUGAGAGGAUGACCCCCCACACUGGUACUGAGACACGGACCAGACUCCUACGGGAGGCAGCAGUAAGGAAUAUUGGUCAAUGGACGCAAGUCUGAACCAGCCAUGCCGCGUGCAGGAAGACGGUCCUCUGGAUUGUAAACUGCUUUUGUUAGGGAAGAAACCCUCGGUUGCGAUCGAGGCUGACGGUACCUAAAGAAUAAGGAUCGGCUAACUCCGUGCCAGCAGCCGCAGUAAUAC
rnacentral:rRNA from 1 species